AUUGAACGCUGGCGGCAGGCCUAACACAUGCAAGUCGAGCGAGCGGCGGACGGGUGAGUAAUGUCUGGGAAACUCCCCGAUGGAGGGGGAUAACUACUGGGAAAGGUAGCUAAUACCGCAUAUCCUCUGCUGUGCCCAGAUGGGAUUAGCUAGUAGGUGGGGUAACGGCUCACCUAGGCGACGAUCCCUCGCUGGUCUGAGAGGAUGACCAGCCACACUGGAACUGAGACACGGUCCAGACUCCUACGGGAGGCAGCAGUGGGGAAUAUUGCACAAUGGGCGCAAGCCUGAUGCAGCCAUGCCGCGUGUAUGAAGAAGGCCUUCGGGUUGUAAAGCACUUUCAGCGAGGAGGCGUUACCCGCAGAAGAAGCACCGGCUAACUCCGUGCCAGCAGCCGCGGUAAUUC
rnacentral:rRNA from 1 species